rnacentral:rRNA from 1 species
CUACUGGCUCAUCGGACGCCGUGUCAAUAGUUGUUUAUUCGAGCACGCGAAGAACCUUACCAGGUCUUGACAUCCUCUGACAACCCUAGAGAUAGGGCUUCUCCUUCGGGAGCAGAGUGACAGGUGGUGCAUGGUUGUCGUCAGCUCGUGUCGUGAGAUGUUGGGUUAAGUCCCGCAACGAGCGCAACCCUUGAUCUUAGUUGCCAUCAUUUAGUUGGGCACUCUAAGGUGACUGCCGGUGACAAACCGGAGGAAGGUGGGGAUGACGUCAAAUCAUCAUGCCCCUUAUGACCUGGGCUACACACGUGCUACAAUGGACGGUACAAAGAGCUGCAAGACCGCGAGGUGGAGCUAAUCUCAUAAAACCGUUCUCAGUUCGGAUUGUAGGCUGCAACUCGCCUACAUGAAGCUGGAAUCGCUAGUAAUCGCGGAUCAGCAUGCCGCGGUGAAUACGUUCCCGGGCCUUGUCCCCC